UACGUAGGGCGCAAGCGUUGUUCGGAAUUACUGGGCGUAAAGGGCUCGUAGGCGGCCAACUAAGUCAGACGUGAAAUCCCUCGGCUUAACCGGGGAACUGCGUCUGAUACUGGAUGGCUUGAGUUUGGGAGAGGGAUGCGGAAUUCCAGGUGUAGCGGUGAAAUGCGUAGAUAUCUGGAGGAACACCGGUGGCGAAGGCGGCAUCCUGGACCAACACUGACGCUGAGGAGCGAAAGCCAGGGGAGCAAACGGG
rnacentral:rRNA from 1 species